UACGUAGGGUGCGAGCGUUGUCCGGAAUUAUUGGGCGUAAAGGGCUCGUAGGCGGUUUGUCGCGUCGGGAGUGAAAUCCACUGGCUUAACUGGUGGCUUGCUUUCGAUACGGGCAGACUGGAGGUAUGCAGGGGAGAACGGAAUUCCUGGUGUAGCGGUGAAAUGCGCAGAUAUCAGGAGGAACACCGGUGGCGAAGGCGGAUCUCUGGGCCAGUAUUGACGCUGAGGAGCGAAAGCGUGGGUAGCAAACAGG
rnacentral:rRNA from 1 species